rnacentral:rRNA from 1 species
GACGAACGCUGGCGGCGUGCUUAACACAUGCAAGUCGAACGGAAGGGCCCUGCUUUUGUUGGGUGCUCGAUUGGCGAACGGGGGAGUAACACGCGAGUAACCUGCCCUUGACUUUGUGAUAACUUCUGGGAAAUGGGGCUAAUACCGGAUAUGAUCUCCUGCUGCAUGGGGGGGAUUGGAGAGUUUCGGCGGUUGGGGAUGGACUCGCUGGUUAUCAGCUUGAUUGUGUGGUAGGUGAUUACCAAGGCUUUGACGGGUAGCCGGCCUGAGAGGGUGGACGGCGACAUUGGGACUGAGAUACGGACCAGACGCCUAUGGGAGGCAGCAGUGGGGAAUAUUGCAGAAUGGGCGGAAGCCUGAUGCAGAAACGCCGCGUGCGGGAUGACGGCCUUCGGGUUGUAAACCGAUUUCGACUGUGACGAAGCGUGAGUGACGGUAAUGGGUAAAGAAGCACCGGCUAACUACGUG